rnacentral:rRNA from 1 species
GACGAACGCUGGCGGCGUGCCUAAUACAUGCAAGUAGAACGCACAGUUUAUACCGUAGCUUGCUACACCAUAGACUGUGAGUUGCGAACGGGUGAGUAACGCGUAGGUAACCUGCCUGGUAGCGGGGGAUAACUAUUGGAAACGAUAGCUAAUACCGCAUAAUAUUGAUUAUUGCAUGAUAAUUGAUUGAAAGAUGCUAUUGCAUCACUACCAGAUGGACCUGCGUUGUAUUAGCUAGUAGGUGAGGUAACGGCUCACCUAGGCGACGAUACAUAGCCGACCUGAGAGGGUGAUCGGCCACACUGGGACUGAGACACGGCCCAGACUCCUACGGGAGGCAGCAGUAGGGAAUCUUCGGCAAUGGACGAAAGUCUGACUGAGCAACGCCGCGUGAGUGAAGAAGGUUUUCGGAUCGUAAAGCUCUGUUGUAAGAGAAGAACGGGUGUGAGAGUGGAAAGUUCACACUGUGACGGUAUCUUACCAGAAAGGGACGGCUAACUACGUG